rnacentral:lncRNA from 1 species
GGAUCUCCCAAGUGCAAUUGCUGCAGCGGAUUCCUUGGUGGAUUAUCGCAGCACCCGUACUCUUUCUGAUAUUCCUUCUACUUCAAAACCUAAGAAACGGGUGGAGAAGAAAGGGGAAUGGAGGAAGGAAGUUCGAAAAGAAGUCGUUGAAAAUGGCAAGGUUGUUGAUGGGGCUGUUCAAAACAAAGGUGUCGCAAACAGGAAAACUGAUGGUUGC